AUCACCAUCAGGGAAGUCAGUUCGAUUAUCAACAAAAGUGGAGAAAGAAUAUUUAAAACUCUCUUAUACUGCAAGCAUUGGAGCAGAGCUCGAAGAUGGUCUGUUUGAUGAUUUUCUUGAACUAGCUCUUCAGUUUGGGAUGAUCAUGAUGUUUGCUUGCGCCUUUCCAUUGA